rnacentral:lncRNA from 1 species
UUGUUGUGAUGUUUAUCUUCCGGUUAGUCAUCAUAAGCGUCUUUAAAAUUAGGGGUGGCCCGUUGGCGUAAUUUUGCAAAUUUCCACCGGCCAGUCCACGGACUGGGCAGCCAGUCCGCGGACUGGGCAAAAAAAAUGGCCAGUUCGCGGACUGGGCAACGGGGGUGGGCAGUCCGCGGACUGGGCAACUUUUCUGCCCAGUCCGCGGACUGGGCAAUUACGCCAACGGGGUGUAACACCAGCAAUUAGAAAUGUCAUUGGGAAAUGUUGAAGUGGAGUCACUUCAGCAUCUAACCUUCAAACGGGGACAAGACUCGCGGGACUUAAAAAUAAUUUUUUUUCGAUCUUCGCAUUACAGGAAAAAAUGUGACAAGGAAAAAAGUGCAACGAGAGUAUUCGUAACGAUAAUACAUCGUAUCUUACCUCCUCGCUAAAAUCAUUUUUGCAAAAUUGUUGAUAAGACUGACGAACUACUGUUGCUACUGAUUAAAGGGACUCUACUACUGAUAAGCUCACGACCAAACAAUCUGCAUAGAAGGUGAAAAUAGAUAGAUGAACCUCUCGACUGACAGAACCACCAGUCGGGGCAAUCCCAUUGCAUUCACCAUGCAUUGACCACCUCUGGAAGGACCCCUAUGUAUCUAAUUCAAAAUCUGUGCUGCGCUGCGAUGUGCAAAAAAUAACAAACUAAAUACUAAAAUCGCCAACGACCUUACUUCUUGCGCUGAAAAGUUUAAUAUUUUGCGUCUCAUCUGUCUCAGCGUGGGUUUUCCAUUUUUAAAGUUGUUCAUUUUGACAGUGGUCACCUUAUUCUUGGUUCAGUGGUGUGUCCUUAUCAAAUUGAAAAUGCCUCCAACAUCUUUAGUUAACAUAAUUGCUCUGGGACUUGUUGGUGUAGUCGCUUAUGGAAUCUUCACAUUUUUCAACAGUUAUUCGAGUGAUUAUCAGCAGGAAAAUAGACAUCGGAGCGACAGGUCAUCCCAACGUAAAGCGCCUCCAAGCAGGAAGGACAACACUUGUUUUUGCGAGGAUGAUAAGAUAACUAACUGCACCCUCAUGAUCUGCGGACACCGGUUUCACAAGGAGUGCCUCAAGCUAUGGGCAGAGGAAAAAUCUCCACCACAAUGCCCUUUUGAUCGAGAAGAGUUCAAUUUUCAACUAGAUGUGAAGGCAGAUUGA